GUUAUACUUUACGAGAGCGGAUGACAACAGGGCAACUUUCAAUACUUGCAAAGUAGAUAUUUCAUUUAAGGGAGGAAACACUACGAAUAUGCAAAAGCAUUUGCUCACAAAACACACGAUGACCUUAAAUGAAUGUCGUGGUUUUAAUUCAGCUCGUGAAUCUCAACCCAGCAGCAGCGGUAACGUUUGCACGUCCUCUCCCGUUAAUGCGGCAGGUGACCAUGAUGAGAGAGACAGAGUCUGGCUGGCGCUCGCUGGCAGUUCUCGCUGCAGUCUACCGGUAGCGUCUCCUUUCAGGCCAGGAUAGACGAAUGUCACCGAGCAGUGACUAAGUUUGUGGUCAAAGGCUUGCCACAGCAGAUGCCCCGAUUUUCAACCCUAGAGAUGGGAUUGUGUGAGAAACUCCCAGCAGAUCCCGUCUCAAAAUUCCAUCUCAGCAAUUUCUGAAACAGUCAGACCAGCCAGUCUGGCACCAGCAAUAACCACAUUAGUUAGAUCACUUUUCUGCCCCAAUUUGAUGCUGUCUUUGAACAGUUCAGCAGGUCAUCUCCACCCUGUCUACAUGCUUAAAUGCAGUUGCUGCCAUAUGAUUGGCUGAUUAGAUAUUAGCGUUAAUGUGCAGUUGAACAGGUAUACCUAAUAAAGUGUCCGGUGAGUAUAUGUCAGUGCAGGUAAUUAACAUUUUGUUACAUUAAUUGAUACUUUUAUGCUCACUAAUGAACAAAUAAAGUUCCCUCUUAUGUUCCACAGUAGCAGAAAUGAUUGUGUAAAAUCAGUGAGUGACCCUUUAAGGUCCUCUUUUGUUUUGACGCAUCCUGAGAAUUUCCCAGAAGACGAGUACUUCAAAAAUAAUUCCCAUAUGUUUCAGAAACACUACAGUGACCAUAUUUUCAUCAGCCUCAACCCACACCUGCCUCUGCACACAUCUCACCGUCAUCUCUUAAUGAAACUAUUAGCUGACGCGUCAAACAGUGGAGGACUUUAAACGGCGAGUUUUGCUGACUACAUCUGUACACUGUUUAGUCUCGCGAUACAUAAGUCAUCAUUUGCUGAGAAGCGUGGCUCCCACACACAUGUGUCAGUUUACAAAUAUAGUUUCUGGAGCCGUUUCGAACCAACUUGUUAAAGAUGUGAUUCCACAUUUAAGGUGGCCGUGUUAAACACACUGAAAUCCUCAGCAGUGCUAAGCUGCUGGGUCCUACUGUAGGGGUUUGGGACAACCCUAAAGAGAUCCCAAGGUAUCAAUUUAACUGUCAAUAUUUAAUUUUUAAAAAAAGAUUUUUGCAUUAAAAUCAAUCAGUCUGAACAGAAAAAAAGUCUCUAUAUUUGAAUUCCAGAACUGAAUGUGAGCAAACUUAUCUGGCUAUAAAGUUAAAUCUGUAAUCCAGGAUUUGCCUCCCAAAACGAAAAUACAUGGAGCCACAAAUCUGCCUUUAAAGUUGGCUUCUUCUGUUUUUUUCUUGGCCCAGUUGUGACGUUGGCCCCAGCAGCAAGCGGGAGGAGCCG
ensembl:lncRNA